rnacentral:ncRNA from 21 species
UUACAAUUCUCCCGUUUUGGUGCUCGCGCAUCUGUCUGAUGCGCGGUUAAACGGGAAACACGAAGUCGUUUCGAGCGACCAACGUGUGCUGCCCCCGCAACGGUAAGCAGGCGUCCCCGAAGGGACUCGUCGCCCAUCUGUACCACUGUGCUCUUGCAUGGGAAGGUCGGGCGAUCAGCUCCGGACUCAGUCCGGAAACCUGUAGCCCGGAUACCGGCCAGGACGGAACAGGUUGUG